rnacentral:rRNA from 1 species
AUUGAACGCUGGCGGAAUGCUUUACACAUGCAAGUCGAACGGCAGCACGGGGGCAGCCCUGGUGGCGAGUGGCGAACGGGUGAGUAAUACAUCGGAACGUGCCCGGUCGUGGGGGAUAACGUAGCGAAAGUUACGCUAAUACCGCAUACGAUCUGAGGAUGAAAGCGGGGGACCUUCGGGCCUCGCGCGAUCGGAGCGGCCGAUGUCAGAUUAGGUAGUUGGUGGAGUAAAGGCCUACCAAGCCGACGAUCUGUAGCUGGUCUGAGAGGACGACCAGCCACACUGGGACUGAGACACGGCCCAGACUCCUACGGGAGGCAGCAGUGGGGAAUUUUGGACAAUGGGCGCAAGCCUGAUCCAGCCAUUCCGCGUGCAGGACGAAGGCCUUCGGGUUGUAAACUGCUUUUGUACGGAACGAAAAGGCUCUGGCUAAUACCUGGGGCUCAUGACGGUACCGUAAGAAUAAGCACCGGCUAACUACGUG